rnacentral:other from 21 species
AUUCCCCUGUGCUGUUGGUGAUUGCUAAAGUGUGUUGAGCCAACUCUCAAUAAAAGGGCGUUGUCUCUUGUCAGUAAAGGUGAAUCGGUGACGAAUUGGCUGAGCUGAUAAUAUGAUGCCCACCUAUUAAUUUAGGUUUAACUAUCUUAGCGACACGGCAGUGUGGGGGAUUU